AACAAUCAAUACUAAAAACAAGAAAGUGAAAUAGCCCGGUUGGAGUCUUUGAUGUAUUUACAGUUACCUUUUCUCCUUUGGAAUUACUUGCUAUUUUAUUUUGUCAAGGCAAAUACUGCAGUCUUUUGAAAACAACAUUUUAAGAGGAAAUUCAGGACAAAAGAAGGCACUUAAGACAGACAGCUAUUUGCCCAGCUAAAAAAAAUUAAAUAAAAUCGUACUGAAAGCCAAACACCUGGUGAACCGGCAAGGUUAUAAACCUUUUAUGAAUCUGCUCUUGUUAAUCAUCUUCACAGCCUCUUUGUGAGUAGAGAAUUUUAUCACAGUCAGUAUCUGACAUGUUUAAUACACCUGCUUUGAAGAAGAAAAAAAUACACCCUUGUAAAUGUGGGAGCCUGUGUUCACAAUCUGAAUCAGUGAUAAAUGGCUCCCCUUCCUAAGGCAUGCCUCCCCACCCCACUAUGAGCCCUCCUUUGUGGUCACGUGACCAAGUGGACAGCAGCACGGAAUGGAAGGAAUGCGAUCGUAUGACUGUUUACCCGACCAGCGUCAUGAGGAACAGACCCUGCUUCACACACUUGCUCACACAUGCAGCAUCUACGCAUACAUUAGCAUGCCACUAUACAUAAACACACAAGCAAUUUUCAGCAAACAAAAUGAAUUCAAUUGAAGUUUAUCUGGCAGUCUGAGAAUGAUGACCGAUGACAGACCAAGGCUGCGUUUCCCGACAACACUGUCUCUUAGCCUGCUAUGAAGAUAAAGGCCAUGUUGUGCUGAUUUGGUGAUCAAAACAUGGUGAGCCCCCCAGGACAGAGCGCACACUGCAGCUCUGAGUCACGGGGCUGGAGCAGCAUGCCUUUGAGACCACGUGACAGACCCUGUAAAACAUGCCCUCUGGCCUCUACGCUGCUUCUGUCUUUUUUUGGUGAAUCUUUAAAAGCAGACAGCUGUACAUGGCUUUCUAGGAGAAGGCUGGAAUGUGAAACAACACGACGGGAAGCUUUACAUGAGAAAGCAAAACAUAAGCUGGAUUUUUUAAGUGGAGAGGCGCAGCCUGUUAAGCACAUCAACAUGCCGUCUAUUCGUCUCUUCAGUUCACAGAUAUAAUGAUGUGAUCUAUCCUGUGGAAAAGCAAUGACCCUUGUUUAUAAAUCUGAAUAGAAAGAGAGAGAAAAAAGAGACGGAUCCCCCCAAAUCAUCCUCAUGAUUCUCCAGCAUCAAUUCCCAAAACAACACACAAAAUUCCUCUUGCUCGUUGUGAACCUGGCACACAGCCCCAGGGAAGCAAAACCUGAAUUUAUGGGUACAAAUCUUAGUGGACAUGGGGGAAUAGUAGCAGUGAGGAAACAGGGACGUUAUGUUCUUGGUUUUCAAAUUCAACCUGAGAAAUCAAAAACUUUAACUCACUCUGACAAGGAGAUCUACUUACUCGACCACUCCUUCUACCAUUUCCUAUUAUUGUCAUUUCUUACAGCAUCUCUUGUGGUGACACCUGUCAAAAUACUGCACUACUCCACAUCACCGCCUGUCCAUAAUAAAGCAUCUAUUAUGAUCAAAA